rnacentral:rRNA from 1 species
CUGAAUAACUGAGCAGAUUGCUUCGGGCUUGACCCGGCAACGUAUCUUUCAAGUGUCUGCCUUAUCAACUUUCGAUGGUAGUUUAUGUGCCUACCAUGGUUGUAACGGGUAACGGAGAAUUAGGGUUCGACUCCGGAGAGGGAGCCUGAGAAACGGCUACCACUUCUAAGGAAGGCAGCAGGCGCGCAAAUUACCCAAUCUCGGCACGAGGAGGUAGUGACGAAAAAUAACGAGACGUUUCUCUUAUGAGUAGCGUCAUCGGAAUGAGAACAAUCUAAAUCCUUUAACGAGGACCUAGCGGAGGGCAAGUCUGGUGCCAGCAGCCGCGGUAAUUCCAGCUCCGCCAGUGUAUAUCUAUGCUGCUGCGGUUAAAAAG